GAACUAAAGAGUUUGAUCCUGGCUCAGAUUGAACGCUGGCGGCAUGCUUUACACAUGCAAGUCGAACGGCAGCACAGGGAGCUUGCUCCCGGGUGGCGAGU
rnacentral:rRNA from 1 species